rnacentral:rRNA from 1 species
UACGGAGGGAGCUAGCGUUGUUCGGAAUUACUGGGCGUAAAGCGCACGUAGGCGGCUUUGUAAGUUAGAGGUGAAAGCCCGGAGCUCAACUCCGGAAUUGCCUUUAAGACUGCAUCGCUUGAAUCCGGGAGAGGUGAGUGGAAUUCCGAGUGUAGAGGUGAAAUUCGUAGAUAUUCGGAAGAACACCAGUGGCGAAGGCGGCUCACUGGACCGGCAUUGACGCUGAGGUGCGAAAGCGUGGGGAGCAAACAGG